rnacentral:rRNA from 1 species
UACGAAGGGGGCUAGCGUUGUUCGGAAUUACUGGGCGUAAAGGGCGCGUAGGCGGUGUGUCAAGUCAGGCGUGAAAGCCCCGGGCUCAACCUGGGAACCGCGCUUGAGACUGGCACGCUCGAGUUCGGGAGAGGAUGGUGGAAUUCCCGGUGUAGUGGUGAAAUGCGUAGAUAUCGGGAGGAACACCAGUGGCGAAGGCGACUUCCUGGCCUGUUCUUGACGCUGAGGCGCGAAAGCUAGGGUAGCAAACGGG